GUUGCAUUGUUGGGAAUUAACUCAACAUUGGUGUAUGGGGCUGGGGAGGUUACACAUCCAGUGAGAUUCCUCCUGCCAGCUGCCCACAAGAUUACUUGGAAGGGAAUCAAAGUCUCUGGAUACCCAGGGUGGAAACAAAAUAGCUGAGAUUUGAAGAUCACCAUUACAGCUGGUUCAGAGAGGAAGUCCAGCAGCUAGUUAUCUUUUCUCCCUCUGCUUGAGCCAUAGGUAUGGUGAACAUCAGGUGGAGAUGCUGAGGAUCUUUCCUCUUUGCCCUUGAGACUACUGAGGAAAGGAGCACUGAAAGGGAAGAGUGGGUCGACCAUCACAGCUCUUCUGAUCCUUCCUUCAAGGUGUUGCAGUGCAAAGUGGGUCCUGAGAAAGGAUAUGGAAGAACAUAGGAAUGUUUCCCCUCACUUGAUGAAAUUUUCUGACACUUCCUGAUAGUCUAUAUCAUACGCCAGGGGGUUUGGCAGCAUCCAGCACUGGAUCAGGAGUCCCUGGACUGAAACCCAGUGGAGAGGGAAGGCCUGGGUUAACCACCAAAGGAGGUGAAGCAGAAACCCUCCCAAAAAGGGAUAAGGACUACUGAAGCAACCUGAUACCGGGGAUCCUGCACCAUACAUACGGGUAAGAGACACUCUUCAUAAAAAACAAAGCUGCAGAAUCUCUGCUUUAAGUGAAAAAUGGAACCCAACUUUAAUCUAGUGGCACUAGCACACAGGUCAUGAACUCAUUUCCAGCGAGGAAAAAAAAUCAACUCAUACUCUAGAUCACUUGGAUGUGUUUGUGAAAAGCAAUCAGUAGAAGUACUACUACUAAGAAAUCAUUGAAGAUAACUUUUCCAGAGGGGAUACAAGAUAUAGAUCAUGUAGGCAGUUGGAGCAACAUGAGCAUAGAGUGACAUCCACAACUCAGAUUUAUCUUUCUUUCAGAUAUUUGACAUUAAGCAAAAUUAUUAUAAUUUAGUAUCAGAAAACACAGAUGUCUAUUAAGCUGCAAUUUCAGACUGUUUUACUCAUGGUAACACUAGACUGCUCUUUGAACAUAAGGCUGCUUAACUUGUCUGUACCCUGUGAGGAAAAACACUUGUAUAUACAACUUUGGACAUUAUAUGAUGUGAUGUGACAUAAAGCCAUGUACUCUGAUACUCUGUGAUUCACUAGAGAGUUAAAGAAACAGCAAACAUUUUACUGAAAUCUGUGAGGAUUAAAGUAACU